GUAAGGGCACCAUCAGGAGUGGAGCCUGCGGCCUAAUUUGACCCAACACGGGAAACCUCACCCGGCCCGGACACGGAAAGGAUUGACAGAUUGAUAGCUC